GACGAACGCUGGCGGCGUGCUUAACACAUGCAAGUCGAACGGAAAGGCCCUGCUUUUGUGGGGUGCUCGAGUGGCGAACGGGUGAGUAACACGUGAGUAACCUGCCCUUGACUUUGGGAUAACUUCAGGAAACUGGGGCUAAUACCGGAUAGGAGCUCCUGCUGCAUGGUGGGGGUUGGAAAGUUUCGGCGGUUGGGGAUGGACUCGCGGCUUAUCAGCUGGUUGGUGGGGUAGUGGCGUACCAAGGCUUUGACGGGUAGCCGGCCUGAGAGGGUGACCGGCCACAUGGGGACUGAGAUACGGCGCAGAAUGCUACGGGAGGCAGCAGUGGGGAAUAUGGCACAGUGGGCGGAAGCCUGAUGCAGCAACGCCGCGUGCGGGAUGACGGCUUUCGGGUUGUAAACCGCUUUCGCCGGUGCCGAAGCGUGAGUGACGGUAAUGGGUAAAGAAGCACCGGCUAACUACGUG
rnacentral:rRNA from 1 species